UAUGGUAAUUGUGUGCCAGCCGCGGUACUACGGAGGAUGCGAGCGUUAUCCGGAUUUAUUGGGUUUAAAGGGAGCGCAGACGGGUCGUUAAGUCAGCUGUGAAAGUUUGGGGCUCAACCUUAAAAUUGCAGUUGAUACUGGCGUCCUUGAGUGCGGUUGAGGUGUGCGGAAUUCGUGGUGUAGCGGUGAAAUGCUUAGAUAUCACGAAGAACUCCGAUUGCGAAGGCAGCACACUAAGCCGUAACUGACGUUCAUGCUCGAAAGUGUGGGUAUCAAACAGG
rnacentral:rRNA from 1 species